rnacentral:lncRNA from 1 species
AAGGAAAAGAGGGACUCCGCCUGCAAGAACCAUCCCCAGUACAGCAGUAACUGUCCCCAGCACAGCGUCUCAGCCCCUCCCCCAGAUGGGGGGAAAAGCCCUUUAACACACACUCCCCGACACAACGCCCUCUUCCAGUCGGCCUUCUCCGCGCUUGGGGCGGGAGAUCUCCCUCUUUUCAUAGUGGCCGGUUCCCAUCCCUUAGUGUCACCCCCAAAGCAGCGUAGGCCUCGGCACGUCCAGCGAUUCCCGCCCCUAACCAUCGCCCCUUGCCCGCCGCGGGAAGGCCUUCGGCCUCCCCAUACCCGCCAUCUCGGACCCGUGCCCCUCUCCAGCUGGCCCCAGGGCAGAGUAGCUUCCCGCUGGAACACAAACGCUCCUCCCCAACAAAGCUUGGCCGCCUUCUGCCCUCCCUCCCCCGCACACUUUCUGGAACACUCACCCCAGUUCUGCACACUCUCCUGGGCCGCCCCCUGCACAUCCUCCCGCGGCCCAAACGAUCACCCGGGCCCCGCACAUUCAUCCGCGGAAGCCCGGGUUUGGGGAGGGUCAGGUCAGACCCUGGGGGAGCAGCGAGCGCAGGCCAGGAGCUUCGGUGGAGGCCGGAGGCGUGGAAUGAGAGUACUAAUGAGUGAAUGAAUGAGUGAACUAGCGAAUGAACUGACAAGCCUACGAAGGAGGGAACGAAGAAAUGGACAGGGCCCCUCCCUCUUGGGCGCCUUUAGAACGGGAAUAUGGGUGGGGGGGGGAUGAGAAAGGAGGGCGAGGCAGAGCAAAGCCAGCCUUCACUGGAGGGAUCAAAGUGCCUCACUCAUUCAUGCAAGGUUUUGUGAGCCCUAGCAGUGCCAGAUACUGAGAAUGCAACUGUGAGCAAAACCAGGCUACAUCCUUGCUAUCGGGGGGGCGUGCAUUCGGCUCCCAAGGGCUCCUGUGAAUGUGUGUGUGUGUGUGUGUGUGUGUGUGUGUGUAUACGUGCAUGCUCACGUGCUUGAGUAAAGAUGGAAGGGAAACACAUUUGAGUAAAUUUCAAAAUAGCAGGUCAUACUAUGAAAAGAACAGGAUUCUUGGAUCAGGGGUGCUGCAAGUAUUGACAGCUGCUUCCAGAUGAAUAUCUGCCAGUCAACAAAGAUCUAAGAAGCUGCAGUGCUCUGCAGUGUUCUAAGCCCAUCCAUGCUUUCUUGAAGAUUCCUGUUUCAUAAAGGUCAUAAAACAAUAAUAAACAAGGGUCAACAAUACAUAAGAAUAAGAACUGUGAAGAACAUCAUUUAGGGUGGUGUUUGGGAGUGGUGGGAGGGAAACUUCAGUGAGGCUAUGGCUGAUAUGAGACUUGAAUUACAAGAAGAACUCAGCGUGAAGGUUGUUGAUAGGAAGAGCGUCAAAAGGAACAGCAAGUGCAAAUUCCCUGUGAUAGGAACCAAUUAGGCAUAUUCUAGUAUCAAAAGAAAAAUGUUGGAGUAAGCCAAGGGAAA